AGUGAACGCUGGCGGUAGGCCUAACACAUGCAAGUCGAACGGCAGCACAGGAGAGCUUGCUCUCUGGGUGGCGAGUGGCGGACGGGUGAGGAAUACAUCGGAAUCUACCUUUUCGUGGGGGAUAACGUAGGGAAACUUACGCUAAUACCGCAUAAGACCUUCGGGUGAAAGCAGGGGACCUUCGGGCCUUGCGCGGAUAGAUGAGCCGAUGUCGGAUUAGCUUGUUGGCGGGGUAAAAGCCCACCAAGGCGACGAUCCGUAGCUGGUCUGAGAGGAUGAUCAGCCACACUGGAACUGAGACACGGUCCAGACUCCUACGGGAGGCAGCAGUGGGGAAUAUUGGACAAUGGGCGCAAGCCUGAUCCAGCCAUACCGCGUGGGUGAAGAAGGCCUUCGGUUGUAAAGCCCUUUUGUUGGGUAAAGAAAACUUAGCGGGCGUAAUACCCAGCAAGUCUGACGUACCCAAAGAAUAAAGACACCGGCGUAACUUACCGUGCCAGCAGCCGCGGUAAAGAGAAGUA
rnacentral:rRNA from 1 species